AUUGACCUCAAAGACUUGGCCUAUGCCUUCAAUAUCAUGCUUCGUGGGUUAACUACCACAUGGAAAAAGUAUGAUUUUUUGUGUUGAAUUGGAUUACAAGCUGAAGUCUUUAGACCUAAAAGCAAAUAAUUUUACAUACCCUUUUUUGUUUAUAGCGUGAGGGAAUGUUUGGGGUUUGGUUCAUGGAAAGAUUGGUCAUUGUCUGGUGUCUAAGGCUGGUUGGGAUGGUGAUGAGUAUGUGAAUCAUUCUUUGAUUACAAUGUACGCAAGGUGUGGUGAAACGGGUUUUGCACGGAAGAUGUUUGAUGAAAUGGGUGUGAGAGACUUGGUGUCGUGGAAUUCGAUGAUUUCGGGGUAUUCUAAGAUGGGUUUUGCUAAAGAGGCAAUUGGGUUGUUUAUGGAAACGAGGGAGGAGGGUUUUGAGCCAGAUGAGAUGACGUUGGUGAGUGUUCUUUGGGCGUGUGGGGAUUUGGAUUUGGGGAGAUGGGUGGAGGGGCUUGUUUUGGAGAAGAAGAUGGAGGUAAUUCGUAUGUGGGGUCUGCUUUGAUUGACAUGUAUGGUAAGUGUGGGGAUUUGAUAUCUGCGAGGAGGGUCUUUGAUUCAAUGCCAAACAAGGAUGUUAUCACCUAGAAUGCCAUUAUCACAGGGUAAUUAGAUCGUUGUGGUCUUCAACUUCCUUGAGCCUGGGAACAUCUAAAAAUUAAGCAUUAUGCGGAGAGCAAGUUGGUACACCGAUUGACCAAACUGGGAGGAUCGGCUAAAUUUUACAACAUGCUUAAUGCCUCACAGGAUAUUUUAUUUCCAGAUAUCAUAUGUAAUUGCUGUUACGUAGACCCUUCUGGGACAGUUACUGGCAUCUAAAGUACUUUUUGUUGAGUUGAAAGGUUUUCUUGAUGCGUGUGAGAAGUCAGGGUGUGGAUCUUCUUAACUCUCCAAUUGCUGAGAAUUCUCCAAGUGCUCACAAGCUUAUAUACAAACAGUGAAAUAAAUUUGAAUUGAUAUUUGUGUUGUAAUGUAUUCCCUUUGACAUUAAAUAUUUUUGGAUGUGUUAUAAAUUUGAAUUUAUCA